GCGCGAUUAGCUCAGCGGGAGAGCGCUUCCCUGACACGGAAGAGGUCACUGGUUCGAUCCCAGUAUCGCGCACCA
rnacentral:tRNA from 21 species